rnacentral:lncRNA from 1 species
AUGUUUUUUUCUUUGUUGAUAUUUUCCAGAUAUCUACAGAAUAAAAUUAAAAAAAAAAAAAAAAAAAAAAGGAGGAGGAGCACCCCCUUCGUAUUCUUCUUAUCGUUAUUUUAUACAUAUAUGAUUUUUUUGGAGGGAGGGUGUUGGUUCCCGGCUGAAGAGCACUUAUUUAAAAUACUAAAAAAAGAACAUUUUUGGGCGAUCUCCAGGGUUUUUUAACUAGCUCUGUGUGUUAUAGCAGAAGAAGCAGAAGAAGAAGCAAGAAAGGAAAAGAAGAGGAUUAUUUAUUCGACC